CAGCCCCUCCCCCUCCAGACCUGUUCCUGCUCAAAAAUGGAAAUUGCUGAGGAACGAGGGGGAAUGGUGGCAUCACAGGAGCUACAUCACUAAGCAAAGAAUGGCCCCUUUCAUCUGCCUGCACAAGUCUGGUUACAUCAAAAACAGGCCAAUGUCCUGUCUAAAUCUUGCCCUCUGCAAGCUCCACCCUUUUUGACCAAUUUGCCUGCAGGUGAAUGAAUGUGAGCAAGCCUUCUCUAGUAAUGUGUAGGUCAGGAAAAUCUCAGCCCACGCCUGACCCUAACCUGCAAAACUAACUUACGCCUGUCCCUAACCUUGAAAAUGUUGCCAUUGUAGGACCUGCACCUGUGUCAUCUCAGUUUGUACACAAAACACUAGCCUGGGGCAAUAGGUGGGCCACUGGAAUCACUAGGGCUGGCUAAUAACCCCCCCCAGAGUCCUGCGCAGAACCAAUUUCUUAGAUCCGAACCCGCAGCACACAACCCCCGAACCGUUACUUGCAUAUUUACCCAUUUUGAACCGCUACCUGACCCAGACCUGCAACUGCCUUACCGGCAAUCAGCCGACCACCAACAAACCGGAAGCAACAUCGUCAAACGUGGCUGAUGGCCGUGAGGGAGAGGGACAGAAGCGCGCCAUGUGAUGUGAUAUUUAGCUGGAAUGGACUCAGUGGCCGUCUAGUUGUUGAUGGGCUAAAGGAACGCAAAGGAACUUUAACUAAAUAUUUUGGCCUUGAAAAAAUUAUGUCUGUUCGACUGCGUGGAGUCCUAUCACAUAAAAUUCAGAUAAUUCUAUCAAUUUGAAUAUGGACUUUAAAAUGUCUUUAAAUAUCCGUCCACAAAGCCAGUCUGGAGUCCUGUUUCAUACCAGCACUAAAUGGCAACAAUUAAGCCUUUAUAUGGAAGCUGGAGAGCUGAUACUGUCUGCAGACAAUGGAUCUGGAGCGGUUCUGGUCUCAGUUACACCACAAAGAACUCUGUGUGAUGGGAAGUGGCACAUA